CUUAUUUUAUGUUAUUUUAAGUUAUUUCCCUAUCCACAUUUGUUUGCAGGGCACUCGUCCUACUCUUACCCCCAUUUUACUUCCUUUUGCAGCCCUCUAGCCCUUUCCAGGAGUUUUUUAGAGCCAUUUUUGUGCCCAAAAGUUCGGGUCCCCAUUGACUAAAAUGGGGUUCGGGUUCGGGGUCAAGUUCAGGGUCAAGUUCGAGCCCGAACCCGGACUUUUUUUCAAAGUUCGGCCGAACCCGCCGGACCCGAACAUCCAGGUGUCCGCUCAACUCUACCACCAAUCUGGCAAUUUUUACACUUCAAAUGACAUAUAUUUGGUGCAACGUACCUAUACAGAAAUUGUGGACUUUAGAGAGCACAAAAUAACUUGGUGCCACCACAUAAAGAAUAUCUAGAGAAUACAGGAUGCCUUUUAUGUAUUGUGCUUGCCAAAGUACUG